AGGUUGUGGUGUGGACAUUGUCUUUGCAGGUCUUUAAACCAAUUCCAUGCUUCCUUUAGUGUUUCAUCAGGUUCUUGUUGGAAGGUAGCAAGUUUAUGUCUGAUUAU
rfam:Beta vulgaris subsp. vulgaris Bvchr2_un.sca008.con0092.1, whole genome shotgun sequence.